GAUGAACGCUGGCGGCGUGCCUAAUACAUGCAAGUCGAGCGAACAGACGAGGAGCUUGCUCCUCUGACGUUAGCGGCGGACGGGUGAGUAACACGUGGAUAACCUACCUAUAAGACUGGGAUAACUUCGGGAAACCGGAGCUAAUACCGGAUAAUAUAUUGAACCGCAUGGUUCAAUAGUGAAAGACGGUUUUGCUGUCACUUAUAGAUGGAUCCGCGCCGCAUUAGCUAGUUGGUAAGGUAACAGCUUACCAAGGCAACGAUGCGUAGCCGACCUGAGAGGGUGAUCGGCCACACUGGAACUGAGACACGGUCCAGACUCCUACGGGGGGCAGCAGUAGGGAAUCUUCCGCAAUGGGCGAAAGCCUGACGGAGCAACGCCGCGUGAGUGAUGAAGGUCUUCGGAUCGUAAAACUCUGUUAUUAGGGAAGAACAAAUGUGUAAGUAACUAUGCACGUCUUGACGGUACCUAAUCAGAAAGCCACGGCUAACUACGUG
rnacentral:rRNA from 1 species